rnacentral:rRNA from 1 species
CCUACGGGUGGCAGCAGUGAGGAAUAUUGGUCAAUGGACGGAAGUCUGAACCAGCCAUGCCGCGUGCAGGAAGACGGCUCUCUGAGUUGUAAACUGCUUUUGUACAAGGGUAAACCUGAUUACGUUUCUUCAGCUGAAAGUACUGUCCGACUACGGAUCGGCUACCUCCGUGCUAGCAGCCGCGGUAAUACGGAGGAUCCAAGCGUUAUCCGGAUUUCUUGGGUUUAAAGGGUGCGUAGGCGGAUUGAUAAGUUAGAGGUGAAAUGUCCGAGCUUAACUCGGGAACUGCAGCUAAUACGGUUGAUAUAGAGAGGAGAUGCGGUAGGCGGAAUGUAUGGGGGAGCGGUGAAAUGCUGAGAGAUCAAACAGAACACCGAUUGCGAAGGCAGCUUACCAAUCUAUAUCUGACGUUGAGGCACGAAAGCGUGGGGAGCAAACAGGAUUAGAUACCCCGGGUAGUC